CACACUCAACUUGCACACAUCAUAACUACCAAACCAGAGAUCCAAAAUUCACAAACUAUACAUCAAAAUAACCAGCAAGGAGUCAAGAAUUAGCAUGUGAAAUUUCAUUCAAUUUGGACAAUGUAUGAGUAUUUCAUGUUAAAAAUGGUGAAACAUACAAAAAAUGCACAUAUGACAAAGAUCCCUAGACAAAAGCAAAAAUC
rnacentral:lncRNA from 1 species